GAAAGAAGGCGCAUCGAUUUCUGACCAUCCUGUGUUCCAUUUUUUUUUUUUUUUUUUUUUUUU
rnacentral:ribozyme from 1 species